AGUUCGGGGGACAGGUGGUGCAUGGUUGUCGUCAGCUCGUGUCGUGAGAUGUUGGGUUAAGUCCCGCAACGAGCGCAACCCUAUUGCUAGUUACCAUCAUUAAGUUGGGGACUCUAGCGAGACUGCCAGUGAUAAACUGGAGGAAGGUGGGGAUGACGUCAAAUCAUCAUGCCCCUUAUGACCUGGGCUACAAACGUGAUACAAUGGCUGGAACAAAGGGAUGCGAAGCAGUGAUGUGGAGCGAAACCCAUAAAAACAGUCUCAGUUCGGAUUGAAGUCUGCAACUCGACUUCAUGAAGUCGGAAUCGCUAGUAAUCGCGGAUCAGAACGCCGCGGUGAAUACGUUCUCGGGGUUU
rnacentral:rRNA from 1 species